GACGAACGCUGGCGGCGUGCCUAAUACAUGCAAGUAGAACGCAGUUGCGCAGGGGUGAGUAAAGCGUAGGUAACUGCCUCAUAUCGGGGGAUAACUAUUGGAAACGAUAGCUAAUACCGCAUACUGUGAGAUGGACCUGCGUGGUAUUAGCUAGUUGGUGGGGUAAAGGCUCACCAAGGCGACGAUACAUAGCCGCCCUGAGAGGGUGAUCGGCCACACGGGGACUGAGACACGGCCCAGACUCCGACGGGAGGCAGCAGUGGGGAAUAUUGCACAAUGGGCGCAAGCCUGAUGAAGCCAUGCCGCGUGUAGGAAGAAGGCCUGCGGGUUGUAAAGUACUUUCAGCGGGGAGCGUUACCCGCAGAAGAAGCACCGGCUAACUCCGUGCCAGCAGCCGCGGUAAUUC
rnacentral:rRNA from 1 species